rnacentral:rRNA from 1 species
UACGUAGGGGGGCAAGCGUUGUCCGGAUUUAUUGGGCGUAAAGAGCGUGUAGGCGGCCAGGUAGGUGGGUUGUGAAAACUGGAGGCUCAACCUUCAGACGUCGACCCAAACCCCCUGGCUAGAGUCCGGAAGAGGAGAGUGGAAUUCCUGGUGUAGCGGUGAAAUGCGUAGAUAUCGGGAGGAACACCGGUGGCGAAGGCGGCGACCUGGGGUAGAUACUGACGCUGAGGCGCGAAAGCGUGGGGGAGCAAACAGG